rnacentral:rRNA from 1 species
CCUACGGGAGGCAGCAGUGGGGAAUAUUGGACAAUGGGGGAAACCCUUAUCCAGCGACGCCGCGUGAGGGAAGAAGGUUUUCGGAUUUUAAACCUCUGUCAGUGGGGACGAUAAUGACGGUACCCACGGAGGAAGCCACGGCUAAAUACGUGCUAGCAGCCGCGGUAAUACGUUGGGGGCAAGCGUUGUCCGGAAUUACUGGGUGUAAAGGGUGCGGAGGCGGGAUGUCAAGUCAGAGUUGAAAAUUAUGGGCACAAAACAUAACCUGCUUUUGAAACUGAUAUUCUUGAGUGAAGUAGAGGCAAGCGGAAUGCCUAGGGUAGCGGUGAAAGGCGUAGAUAUUAGGAGGAACACCAGUGGCGAAGGCGGCUUGCUGGGCUUUUACUGACGCUGAGGCUCGAAAGCGUGGGGAGCAAACAGGAGUAGAUACCCUUGUAGUC